AAUUAAUUCACGCUGUGUUUUUUCGUUGUGCAGAUCAGGUGUGAGAGCAGAAAAUAGAAGAUGAUGCCCCUCAGCUGAAUGUUUGUUGGGUAGAGGGUGGGUGUAAAUGCCAGUCUCUGCUGAGCUGCUCUCAGCGCCCAGCAGCAGGCCGGAGAUUGGUUCAGCUCCCAGUGACAAAGCUGAGCCUUGCACUGUGCCGGUAAACUGAAAGGUAAAAGGCUGCCAGCAUCAAUCAGCUGCAGGGAACAGAGAGAAAGAGAAUGAGCAUCCUCCUCCCCCGCUGUUGCUGCAGCGGGCUUCCUUUCACAACAAGUGCAACCCUCCCUCCUCACCUCCGUCUCAGACUGUCUGAAAGGGCAAGAUGUGAAGGAAGCUGAUUCAGAGUCAAACACUGAACCACCCUGCUCUGCGUUUGCAAGUUACUGGAGCUGUGAUGCCCUUUCAUGAAUACUGGUCCGGUUUUCAAAGUCCACAGAAACCUCAAGGCUGAUCUACGUGAAAGGAAACACCUCCAUUUUUCAACCUUGUCCCUGUUUUUUGGCCCAUAUGUUGACAUGUGCAACAUUUUGGAACUGCUGGUGCAGUAUGCUUCAGUCUGCUGCAGGAUCACGGCUUUAACGGCUACAAUGAAACUCCUGGGGCAAAUACAGACAAACAAGUUAGGUCCACUAAAGGGUUUACAGUUAGCGCUGACAUAUCCUGACGGUAAACUUAAUGUCCUCACUACAAGAUUUCAAAAUAAGACUUCCCUUUGAGUGUCCCUUUUUUUAGUGGUGAUGGCAGCACAGCUCUUUACAGGAUGUUGUCUGACACUUAGUAAAAUGAGCUAAGUGACAAAUAAAGGGGCCCAGUGUUGCAGUCUUUCAUGCAGCUGAGGAGACUCUCCAAAGUUAGAUCAUUUUUAUUCAAGAAAAACCUUGAUACAGUCAUACAUGCUUUUAUCUCCCCCCGUUUGGAUGACUGUAACUCAUUGUUGAGUUUGCACAAAUGAAGCAGCCCGACUUCUCAUUAGAACCAGAAAAAAGAGACCACAUCACUCCUGUUUUAGCUCGGUCUCAGCAGAUGUGUGUCUAACAUGAGUCUGGUCCUGCUCAAGGU